CAGCAGAGGAGGCAGGGCUGCAGGUUGGAGACUAUGUGCUGGCAGUAAACGGCACUGAUGUCACUAGUAUCCCACACUCAGAAGCAGCUGACCUCGCACGACAAGGCCCAGACAUUUUAACUCUGACCAUUGGCUCGGAUAUUGGUCGAAUGCCUAACACUCCACGGCCAACAUGCAGAGGUUACUUGCAUAAGCGAACUCAAUCCAGUUUGCUGAAGGGCUGGAGAAAGAGGUGGUUUGUGCUCAGACAUGACUGCUGCCUCUAUUACUACAGAAACAAGCGUGAUGAAGGGAAGAGCCGAGCUCUGUCUGUGAUAAGUCUGGAAGGGGCGCUGGUGGAGGCCGACACCAGUUUAGGAAAGCCAUUUGUGUUCAGAUUCUGCCCUGUCUCUGGGAGCCGAGUUUACUACUUGUGUGCUACAUCAAACCAAGAGAUGAAAAGGUGGCUGGAGGCUAUGGGUCGAGCAGUUCAUCCCAUUACUCAGAAUCACGUCUGGGUGGACGUCACUCGACACAACUCAAAUCUUCCCCCACUGGCAGUCAAGAACCCAGAAUGCCUUGGGUUGCUCCACCAGCUGGACAGAAACAAGGACUCAUGGGUGCAGCACUACUGUGUGCUAAAAGAUGGAUGCCUCUAUUUCUAUGUGAGCAUUCGUUCAACCUGUGCCAUUGGAGGUAUCUACCUGCAUGGUUACACAGUGAAGGAUCAGCCGCUGGGAUCCAAAAGAUCUACGAUUGAGCUCAGACCUCCAUCUGAAGAGUUUAAAGUGUUCUACCUUUGUGCAGAGAACGCAAAUGAGAACAAACGAUGGAUUAGUGCAAUAAAAUCUUCUAUAGGAAAAUGGCUGCCAUUGCAUCAGGCAAUUCAAGACUACAUGAGUCGUCCACCCGAGGAAACAAGAAUGUGAACAAGACAGGUCUUGUCACAUGAGGUGUUUCGCAAGUUUAGUGGUGGAGCGGAGGGAACGUGAUGGUGAAGAUCCUAUGCCUUGUAUAGCUUUACAGAUACUGUCUCACACCAAAUUGGCAUUGAGAUACAAAAAUCUAAAAGAUCAGCUGUAUGUAAUAGGAUCUUUACCGUUUUGUUAAAAAGUCAGUGUUGAAUUGUUCUGGAGAUUGGUUUUGAAGUGCUGCAUUUGCCUAUUUAACAAAACUAUACAAUUUGAUAAUAACAUUAAAAAACAAAAACUAAUAGUAGAACAAUAAAAAAUGCAGAUUAAAUCAUAAAGUCAUCUGCUGUAAAUAUUCAUGAUAAAACCUAAAAUAAGUGUAACUCCAUAUAUAAUAUUCAAGUGCUUUUAUGACAACAGAGCAGCAGCGAGCACAUGAAGUUGUCAUGGCAACCAGAUACAUUGCAUGCUGCGCUGUGACGGUAACUGGAAGCAGAGAAAUAGAAGCAAAAGCCUAAUUCAUAUUAAGACGUACAUACAGUAUUAGGCCAUCAUCAUCAGACCUCAGCAUCACUUCUCAGCCAUUUAACAGAUUGCAUAUCAAAAAAAACCCUGAGCUUAUGUUAUAUAAGACUGAAUUAUUUGUUCACAUCAAACUGUUUUCUCUUUCACAUUUAUACAUAUUGUAAUUUAUCAUAAUCUUGUUUUAGUUCCACUUAACCAUUAAUUUGUUACAUGUUUCUUUGCAUUCAAUUUAAAGAUUAAGGAAAAAUGAUGGCCUGCAUUCCUGUAAACCGUUUUGUGUCACAUAAUUAGAAUUUUUACUAUGUUUUCCAUUUUCAGGAUUUGCUAACUAUGUGAAGACACGGCCACUGCUAUUGUACAUAAUACACAUUUUCUUUGUUUUUGCUGUCUAGGCCAGUUCCAUAAAACGUUUAGUUAUUUUUAUAUAGCCUACAGUAAAAUAUCUUACUGAUGUUUUUAGCUCAUUUAUACCAUUUUUAUAGCAAUAUUAUGAAUUUGUCUAUUCUUUGUAUAAAUACGGAUACAUUUCUGGCUUUUUGUAUUAAUAUUUUUAUUAGUACUAGGUGAUCUUCCAGUUUACAGUUUGAUAAGAAUUACUACAAACUAAGGAAGUAUUUACACCUGGUGACUUCAUGCAUGAAAUGAAUCUCGGAUUGCUGACUAUCUUAAAAG